AGCGAACGCUGGCGGCAGGCCUAACACAUGCAAGUCGAACGAACCCUUCGGGGUUAGUGGCGGACGGGUGAGUAACACGUGGGAACGUGCCUUUAGGUUCGGAAUAACUCAGGGAAACUUGUGCUAAUACCGAAUGUGCCCUUCAGGGGAAAGAUUUAUCGCCUUUAGAGCGGCCCGCGUCUGAUUAGCUAGUUGGUGAGGUAAUGGCUCACCAAGGCUACGAUCAGUAGCUGGUCUGAGAGGAUGACCAGCCACAUUGGGACUGAGACACGGCCCAAACUCCUACGGGAGGCAGCAGUGGGGAAUCUUGCGCAAUGGGCGAAAGCCUGACGCAGCCAUGCCGCGUGGAUGAUGAAGGUCUUAGGAUUGUAAAGCUCUUUCAGUGGGGAAGAUAAUGACGGUACCCACAGAAGAAGCCCCGGCUAACUUCGUGCCAGCCGCCGCCGUAACAC
rnacentral:rRNA from 1 species